rnacentral:tRNA from 4 species
GCGCGCGUAGCUCAGUUGGUAGAGCACUCGACUGAUACUCGUGUUGUCCCAGGUUCGAUCCCUGGCGCGCGCACAA